rnacentral:rRNA from 1 species
AGCAGCCGCGGUAAUUCCAGCUCCAAUAGCGUAUAUUAAAGUUGUUGCAGUUAAAAAGCUCGUAGUUGAAUUUCGGGAUUUGUCAGUUGGUCGGGCUUAACUGUCCGUACUGAUUUGAUGGAUUCUUACCUUCUGAAUAACCAGCAUGCUAUUAAUUUAGUGCGUUGGGGAAGCAGAUCUAUUACCUUGAAAAAUUAGAGUGCUUAAAGCGGGCUAGUGCUUGAAUAGAUUAGCAUGGAAUAAUAAAAUAGGACGGCAUGGUUCUAUUUUGUUGGUUUCUAGGAUCACCGUAAUGAUUAAUAGGGAUAGUUGGGGGCAUUAGUAUUCAAUUGUCAGAGGUGAAAUUCUUGGAUUUAUUGAAGACUAACUUCUGCGAAAGCAUUUGCCAAGGAUGUUUUCAUUAAUCAAGAACGAAAGUUAGGGGAUCGAAGACGAUCAGAUACCGUCGUA